GGAUGACUUGUGAAUGGAGAAAGAGCUGGUGCUGGCGGAAAGGGGAUAACUCUGGUACUGGAAAAAGGGGAGAUUACACUGGGGUGAAAUCUGUCUGCUUUCAAAUUUGUUUUUCUCUGGAUGGGUAAAAAGAAUAAACUGGUGGAUUGGGACUCAGAUCAGAGACUUGGUAUCUAAAUGGGACAUGCCUGCUAAAUACGGAAAAGGAAACCAGAAAGAACCACCGUAACCUCAGAAUGCCCAAAAGACCAGGACAGAAGAGAGGAGGAGAUGUCUUUUCAAACCCCACAAGAUGAUAUGCAGAAAAACAGAAGAGGGAUGUGUGGUCUUUAGGAAAUACAUCAAGACACGUGGACAAGAUAUUCAUGAAAACAAUGAGACGAAAACAAACCUCUUUUUCAUGAUGCAAACGUGCUGGCGUCCAUGCUUGACCUCCUCGUGGCUGGAACUGAGAUGACUUCCACAACCUUGCAAUGGCUCAUCCUGCUGAUGCUAAAAUAGCCAGAGUUUCUAAGGACGAACAAUCACGAUUCUUUGCUCACCUCGAUGCUGCUAAUUCCAUGUGAGACAGCGAAUAAGUUUAACCCCAACCACUUUUUUGAUGCUGAUGGAAAGUUUGCAAAGACAGAAGCUUUCCUGAUUUUCUCCCCGGGUAACUAAAAGGGCCUGAUCCUGCAGGGAAGCAGCAUGCCUAG